rnacentral:rRNA from 1 species
AUUGAACGCUGGCGGCAGGCCUAACACAUGCAAGUCGAGCGGAUGAAGGGAGCUUGCUCCUGGAUUCAGCGGCGGAAGGGUGAGAAAUGCCUAUGAAUCUGCCUGGCAGUGGGGGAUAACGUCCGGAAACGGGCGCUAAUACCGCAUACGUCCUGCGGGUGCAAGUGGGGGAUCUUCGGACCUCACGCUCUCAGAUGAGCCUAGGUCGGAUUAGCUAGUUGGUGGGGUAAAGGCCUACCAAGGCGACGAUCCGUAACUGGUCUGAGAGGAUGAUCAGUCACACUGGAAGUGGAACACGGUCCAGGCUCCUACGGGAGGCAGCAGUGGGGAAUAUUGGGCAGUAGGCGGAAGCCUGAUCCAGCCAUGCCGCGUGUGUGAAGAAGGUCUUCGGAUUGUAAAGCACUUUAAGUUGGGGGGAAGGGCAGUAAGUUAAGACCUUGCUGUUUUGACGUUACCGACAGAAUAAGCACCGGCUAACUUCGUG